UACGAAGGGGGCUAGCGUUGCUCGGAAUUACUGGGCGUAAAGGGCGCGUAGGCGGCGGAUCAAGUCAGGCGUGAAAUUCCUGGGCUUAACCUGGGGGCUGCGUUUGAGACUGAUGUGCUUGAGGAUGGCAGAGGCUCGUGGAAUUCCCAGUGUAGAGGUGAAAUUCGUAGAUAUUGGGAAGAACACCGGUGGCGAAGGCGGCGAGCUGGGCCAUUACUGACGCUGAGGCGCGACAGCGUGGGGAGCAAACAGG
rnacentral:rRNA from 1 species